UACGUAGGGUGCAAGCGUUGUCCGGAAUUAUCGGGCGUAAAGAGCUCGUAGGCGGCUUGUCGCGUCGGCUGUGAAAACCUGGGGCUCAACCCUGGGCCUGCAGCCGAUACGGGCAAGCUAGAAUUCGGUAGGGGAGACUGGAAUUCCUGGUGUAGCGGUGAAAUGCGCAGAUAUCAGGAGGAACACCGGUGGCGAAGGCGGCAUCCUGGCCCUGUCCUGACGCUCAGGGGCGAAAGCGUGGGGAGCAAACCGG
rnacentral:rRNA from 1 species